CGAACAAGUACCGUGAGNNNAAGNNNAAAAGAACUUUGAAGAGAGAGUUCAAGAGUACGUGAAANCGUUCAGGGGUAAACCUGUGAAACCCAAAAGAUCGAAUGAGGAGAUUCACCGUCAAUGUAUUCAGUAUUAAUGCAGGCUAUGAUGUGAUAAUAGAAUCCUUGUGGUCACUAGAUUAUACUUGCUUGUAUUAUUUUCGCUGGGUAUGUCGGCGUGCACUUCUCCUCUAGUAGAACGUCGCAACCCGUUAAAUGUUUAUCUAUGGCUUAAAUGGUAGCCUUUGAUAUAUUUAUAUAUNKAAGACCUUUAAUGUCCUGAUGAACUGUUUGACGGUAUCUAUAUGGUAUUGAGUCGCAAUUAUUUGCGUUAGACUUGCCGCAAGUAUGGCUUUAUUCGAGUAGUGCGGAUUUAAUGCCGUCGCUUGUCAAAGUCUGCUGUUAGCUGUGUAAUGUCUUUAACUGANUUAUUUACCGGUUAGCGAUGCUACUGCUUUGGGUACU
rnacentral:rRNA from 1 species